ensembl:lncRNA
GUAACAGAGACAGGGCUGCCCGUGUGCCCUCGGUUCUCCUCUCCUCUCGCGCCGGCUUGUGGGACUUGGGUCGCCGCGGGGUGAGGACGCUGACCCAGGGGAAUCCGGGCGGGGCUGCGCGGGGUCUGGAUGGCGCCGCCGCGGGGACUCGGGCGGCCGGUGCGUCCGGCCCGGCGGGGGCUCUCCGGCCCCGGCCGCCCCCGCGCACUGCCGCCCCCAGGCCCGCCGGCGCCGCGCGCCCCCUCGCGCCCCCAGCCGCCCUGGCUCCCGCCCCCUCCCUCGGCGGCGGCGGCGGCCCCGGUGGCUCGGCGCCCCCCAGAGGAGGGAAAGUUGGGACCUGGCGGCGACGGACGCCCCCGGGCGCGGCUGGGAGGCUGCUGGGGAAAGUGAAGCCUGGAGGAGCUGGACGCGGGGAGGCUGGGGCAGGAAGGGCGCUGCUCGCUGUUGCUGAGUCUCCACGGACACCCCGGUACAAACCUAGGAGGAUCCGGCGCAGCCUCGCCAGCAGCGCCGGGACGAAACCCGGUGGCUCUUUGCCUGCUCACUUCGCGCUGCGGCUUGUGAGCCCCCUAACGCGCGGGUUUGCUCUGUUUGGGGAUUUUGAGAGGUUUGCUGAUAGAUUGGAUGUGGAAUGUGAAAACAGAAGAGUUAAGGAUGAAUCUAAGGUAAGAUUUGUUUGAAGACAAAUAUUUGCAACCUACUAUGAGGGAAUUCCUACCCUACAAAAUUAUUCUGGGAGCAAGCUAAUUAUAUUUACAAGUGGGCAAUGAACAUCCAGUCAUCUGAGAACAUGAGGUCAGGCCAUCCUACGUAUCUCCUUUAAUCCUCAUAAUAAUCCUGUACUGAGGCAGCCUUGGCACCCAGAUGGCCUUCCUGUGAUGGUGGUCUUGGAGAAUGUCUGGGCUGGGUUAGAAAAGCCUCCUCUGUUAGGUCUACAUCAUUAACUGAGGAGAGUCAAAAUCGUAAUACACAAAAGUAAUUGCAGUGAAGGCCAUAUGUAUAUUGGUGGCUGGUCGGAUUUGGCCUAUGGGUCAUAUAGAUUGACAAUCCCUGCUCUAUUAAACGUUCCUAUCUUCAGAAAAUAAGUUAAGGAAUGAGAGGCAAGGAAGAAAGGACAUUCAUCUUGGAAGAACCCAAAGCACUUUCAAAUUUUAAAGGAAUGUAAUGAUAGCUGCUAAAACCACCUUUGUCACCAUAAUGGAUGAAGUUCUUCAAAUUUAACCGGUGAAUAAUUGUAGCUGUAUUUGGACAUGAGUUUAAACUUUUUAAAGAAUUCAGGAAGUUAUGUUAUGGCAAGUGGCAUACUUGUUCUUCUGAAUGAUACAAAUGAUAAAGGAAUAGAACUCAGAGGGGACACAUGGCAGAGUUGGAAGUUUUACCCAGUUCUCCUAAUGCCAGAGCAGUGUUCUUUGUACUCCAAGAUUGUUCCUAGGGUGAAGGAAUAGCCUGGAGGCUUAGAGGUAGGUCAAUACACGUCAUUUCUGGGAAAUGGUUACAUAGUCCUUCAUAAUUAGAUGGUGGUUGAAGGGAAUGCACUGAGAGAUAGGACUGGAAAAAUAAGUUGAGUUAAAAUCAUGAAGAGUUUUGAAUACCCUAACAAGGGGGUUAGGUUUUUGAGCAGUGACUAAUAAUAAUGUAAAGAGUAGCUUAGAAAGAGAGAGAUUUGAGAGUGACGUCAGCAACAUGGCAGCGUGAGCUCACCCGGGACUCUCUCCCCUCCAAAUUACAACCAAAAAGAGCAACUGCUUUCCAACCAAAAAAAAAAUCCUAAUAACAGAAAUCAUCAGAGACCCACAGCAGCCAAACGACAGAGGGCAGAGAGGCUGGAGCCGCCCUUGAAGGAGCUGGAACAGGGUAAGAGAGAACUUUGUUCCCUCCGCUGGAAACUGGGAUCACUGCCGCAGGUGCGGGAAGGAGUGGGGGAGGGGCUGCACAUCCGGGUUCAUCCAGGACUCUCACUGCCUGUGCAGUGGAAACCCUCUAACAGGGGAAAGCUUUCGUGUGGGGCAACCCCAUCCAGCCAGGACCCCGGGAGACCAGAGAGCGACCGCUGAUCUGAAUCCAGGUCAGCACGCAAGAGAAACUGCCCCUCCUCCCCUGCCUGCCACCAUCAUGGCUGAAGGCGGAGGGGUCAGAACGCCCAGAUCUCAACCCCCAUCUACUGGGGACAGGCUGUAACUGCAACCAAAUAAUAGCAUCAUGGGCAAAAGCCACUCCUCUACCAUCCAGCAAUUUAUAAAAGCUGCAUUCCACAAGAAAAACAAUAAAAACACAGAAAUAUGUCCUAAGGACUUGGAAAUAGGUAAACUAAGUGAAGAUGAGUUCAAAAUAGCUAUCAUCAAAAUACUCAAUGAGGUAAAGGGAAAUACAGAGAAACAAGUCAAUGAGUUCUGGAGUUACUUCACAAAAGACAUUGAAACUAUAAAGAAGAAUCAAUCAGAAAUACUAGAGAUGAAAAAUACAGUGGAUCAGAUACAACAGAAUACGGAUGCCCUCAAUGCCCAUAUAGACACCAUAGAGGAGCAAAUUAGCAUAAUCGAAGAUAGACAGGCUGCAUGGCUCUGGACAGAGGAAGAAACAGAACUAAGAAUUAAGAAAAAUGGAGAAAAUCUCCGAGUAAUAGCUGACUCAGUGAGAAAAUGCAACUUAAGAAUCAUGGGAGUUCCUGAGGGUGUGGAAAAGGAAAAUGGAGCUCAGUGAAAUAAUGGAAGAGACCUUCCCAAAUCAAGGGAUUGAGAGAGAAAUGUGUGUGGAGGAAGCUUUCAAAUCUCCUAGAUUUGUCAAUGUAAUAAGACCUACUGCAAGGCAUAUAGUAGUAAAAAUCACAAAAAUGAAUGAUAAAGAAAGAAUACUCAGGGCAGCAAGGCAGAAGAAAAUAACCUACAAAGGAAGCCCCAUCAGACUUUCAUCAGAUUUCUCUACAGAAACCUUACAAGGUAGGAGAGAUUGGAGUGACACAUUCAAAACUUUAAAGGAUAAAAAUCUUCAGCCAAGAAUACUUUAUCCAGCAAAAAUAUCCUUCAGAUAUGAGGGAGAAAUUAAAUCUUUUCCAGACAAACAAAAGCUAAGGGAAUUUUUAUUCACAAGACCUCCACUACAAGAAAUCCUCAAGAAGGCUCUCAUACCUGAAAUAAGAAAAAAAGGGAGAAAGGGGUCACAAAACAUAGAUUAGGGAGACAAAUAGCUAGAAUUGAAAUAGGAUAGCAAAUAUUCAACUAUAGCAUUAGGAUAAAGGGAAGGAAAUCACCAAAGCAAAGACAAUCUUAUCACUCUAACCACAAACUCACAACACAAGUUGGAAUAAGAGAUGAAAGUAAUAAUUUAGGAGGGGAGUGGGAAAGGGACUGAAACAGUCUAGGCUAAGGAAGUAAGAGACCACCAGAAAAUGGACUAUGUUAUACAUGAGAUUCUGAAUACAAACUUCAGGGUAGCCAUUAAACUAAAAAACAGAACAGAGACACAAAACAUAAAUAAGGACAAUCUAAGAAACCCAGCCUAAGAAAUUGCAGAAUUCAAUGGGUAGACUAAAACACACAGGACAAGAAACAAAGGAAACACAGGAAAACUGGAAAACGAGCAACAGAAUGACAGCAUUAAGCUCUCAUGCGUCAGUACUCACCCUCAAUGUAAACA